AACGCACAUUGCGCCCCUCGGUAUUCCGGGGGGCAUGCCUGUCCGAGCGUCAUUGCACCCCUCAAGCGCAGCUUGGUAUUGGGCUCUCGUCCUUACGGACGUGCCCGAAAAACAGUGGCGGUCCGAUGCGACUUCAAGCGUAGUACGAAUACCUCCCGCUUUGGAAGCUUUCGCGCCGCGGCUGGCCAAAAACCACCCUUUUUUCAAUGAUUGACCUCGGAUCAGGUAGGGAUACCCGCUGAACUUAA
rnacentral:misc_RNA from 1 species